rnacentral:rRNA from 1 species
AAUCAACGCUGGCGGCGUGCCUCAGACAUGCAAGUCGAACGCGAAAGUCCCCUUCGGGGGACAAGUAGAGUGGCGCACGGGUGAGUAACACGUAGUAAUCUACCUUUGGAUGGGGAAUAACAACCGGAAACGGUUGCUAAUACCGCAUAAUGCAGCGGCACCUAAUGGUGACAGUUGUUAAAGCGGGGGAUCGAAAGACCUCGCGUCUGAAGAGGAGCCUGCGGCGAUUAGCUAGNGGUAAGGUAAUGGCUUACCAAGGCUACGAUCCGUAACCGGCCUGAGAGGGCGGUCGGUCACACUGACACUGACAUACGGGUCAGACUCCGUACGGGAGGCAGCAGGU